rnacentral:snoRNA from 1 species
CCCAGCUGUAGGCCACAGCCUAGGUAGUACUGUAACUAGGCAAGUGUUACACUGCUGGGAGAAAAUCAGCCAGCAGCUGGCGGGCAUCCUGGGUCUCAUU